GUACACGUGGCUCGGACUCGCGUAAAUUUUUCAUGAUUUAUCAAGUUAUGUGGGACUUUGCAGAUGUUUGAGGAUACGCCUCCUUCGAUUGUGGUUUGCUCUAAUUAGAGCCAUGGUAACUCGAUACAAUCGUGAGGACGGUUUUGGCAGUUAUUGAGUCUGGCCAAUGAUUUGAGGUAAAUAGAGGCGCGACGGUUAUUGACCUUUUGAGGUGAUAGGUUUUAUCGCGAGCGGUCGAUUAACCGCAGGGUUAUUAUAUUAUACAUGAUUUCAGUACAAAAAGGAUGAAAGGGAAAAGGGAACUAAAUAAGCAACUUUCCACGAUGAUGUUUCAUUGUUUUCUUCGGCAACCAAAGUCACUCGAUCACAACAAUUGUUAUUGUAAAUGAAGCCAAUUGGUAUUAUUUUCAUUUAACUCAACUAGUUAUUUUAUCUAAUUAGAGCAAGCAAAAACUCAAACGCAGUGGCUUCAACAAAACAAUUAAAGCUUGUCUAUGUGUGUUUUACUAAGCUGACAAAAAUAUUUCUACAAAUAACACACAGAAUUUUAUAUUUACAAUACAAACAGAAACAUUAUACAAAGUAUGUAUGUAUCGCUAAAACUCUCGAACCUUUGUUGCUUUUUUAGUUAUUACAGGUUUUAGUCCAAUUCAAAAUAAUAAGAAUAACAGACAAUUUGACCUCUUGUAUAAUGCGAAAUUAGAAAAAACCUAAAUUUAAAUUUGCUGUUGUAAAAUUAAUUUGUUCUCAUCUCAACCUAGAAAAUGAACACACUGAAUGUGAAGUACAUGUUAGUACUAAAAUCAGACACCUAU